UCAGCUAGUAGUUUAACUUUAAAAUAUUAGUUUUGGAGACUAAAGUUAUUAUAAUUAUUUAUGCUG
rnacentral:tRNA from 1 species